CUUUAUGGUACAAUGAAAGACUAAAUUUUAAUUGUAUUCAGUCUUUGUGUUAUCAUGUUUUGUAAAUUUUAGAAAUAUGUAGAAAAAGUUACGGAUGGUACAUAUGUGAUUAUCUAACCUGAAACUCUUUGGAAUUUUGCAAUUGAUAAGGGGGCGCUACUUCAAGCACAUGUUUUAAUUUCCAGCCUCUUUUCCAAAUAGCUGCCAAAGGAAGAACACACAGAAAUUUGGUGACAUUCAAUUUUCAUAAAAUAUUUUAAUUUCAAAUUUAAGAAAGAUGGAUACAACCGAGAAAAUACAAGUGUCAGAGAUGGGGCAUACAAG
rnacentral:lncRNA from 1 species